CGGGGCUUGACAUUAUCUUGUCAGUCUAAGAAAUUAGAUCUUCUUCCUUUCGGGGAAGACAGGAUAACAGGUGGUGCAUGGUUGUCGUCAGCUCGUGUCGUGAGAUGUUGGGUUAAGUCCCACAACGAGCGCAACCCUUGUGCUUAGUUGCUAACUUGUUUUACAAGUGCACUCUAAGCAGACUGCCGCAGAUAAUGCGGAGGAAGGUGGGGAUGACGUCAAAUCAUCAUGCCCCUUACGUCCCGGGCUACACACGUGCUACAAUGGCCUGUACAGAGGGUAGCGAAAGAGCGAUCUUAAGCCAAUCCCAAAAAGCAGGUUCCAGUUCGGAUUGGAGGCUGCAACUCGCCUCUAUGAAGUAGGAAUCGCUAGUAAUCGCGGAUCAGCACGCCGCGGUGAAUACGUUCC
rnacentral:rRNA from 1 species